UGGGGGAUAUUGCGCAAUGGGGGCAACCCUGACGCAGCAACGCCGCGUGAAGGAUGAAGGUUUUCGGAUUGUAAACUUCUUUUAUUAAGGACGAAAAAUGACGGUACUUAAUGAAUAAGCUCCGGCUAACUACGUGCCAGCAGCCGCGGUAAUACGUAGGGAGCAAGCGUUGUCCGGAUUUACUGGGUGUAAAGGGUGCGUAGGCGGCUUUGCAAGUCAGAUGUGAAAUCUAUGGGCUCAACCCAUAAACUGCAUUUGAAACUGUAGAGCUUGAGUGAAGUAGAGGCAGGCGGAAUUCCCCGUGUAGCGGUGAAAUGCGUAGAGAUGGGGAGGAACACCAGUGGCGAAGGCGGCCUGCUGGGCUUUAACUGACGCUGAGGCACGAAAGCGUGGGUAGCAAACAGGAUUAGAUACCCUGGUAGUCCACGCUGUAAACGAUGAUUACUAGGUGUGGGGGGACUGACCCCCUGCGUGCCGCAGCUAACGCAAUAAGUAUUCCACCUGGGGAGUACGAUCGCAAGGUUGAAACUCAAAGGAAUUGACGGGGGCCCGCACAAGCGGUGGAUUAUGUGGUUUAAUUCGAAGCAACGCGAAGAACCUUACCAGGGCUUGACAUCCUACUAACGAGAUAGAGAUAUGUUAGGUGCCCUUCGGGGAAAGUAGAGACAGGUGGUGCAUGGUUGUCGUCAGCUCGUGUCGUGAGAUGUUGGGUUAAGUCCCGCAACGAGCGCAACCCCUAUUGUUAGUUGCUACGCAAGAGCACUCUAGCGAGACUGCCGUUGACAAAACGGAGGAAGGUGGGGACGACGUCAAAUCAUCAUGCCCCUUAUGUCCUGGGCUACACACGUAAUACAAUGGCGGUCAACAGAGGGAUGCAAAACCGUGAGGUGGAGCGAACCCCUAAAAGCCGUCCCAGUUCAGAUCGUGGGCUGCAACCCGCCCACGUGAAGUCGGAAUCGCUAGUAAUCGCGGAUCAGCAUGCCGCGGUGAAUACGUUCCC
rnacentral:rRNA from 2 species